rnacentral:rRNA from 1 species
GAUGAACGCUGGCGGCGUGCCUAAUACAUGCAAGUCGAGCGAACGGACGAGAAGCUUGCUUUUCUGAUGUUAGCGGCGGACGGGUGGGUAACACGUGGAUAACCUACCUAUAAGACUGGGAUAACUUCGGGAAACCGGAGCUAAUACCGGAUAAUAUUUUGAACCGCAUGGUUCAAAAGUGAAAGACGGUCUUGCUGUCACUUAUAGAUGAAUCCGCGCUGCAUUAGCUAGUUGGUAAGGUAACGGCUUACCAAGGCAACGAUGCAUAGCCGACCUGAGAGGGUGAUCGGCCACACUGGAACUGAGACACGGUCCAGACUCCUACGGGAGGCAGCAGUAGGGAAUCUUCCGCAAUGGGCGAAAGCCUGACGGAGCAACGCCGCGUGAGUGAUGAAGGUCUUCGGAUCGUAAAACUCUGUUAUUAGGGAAGAACAUAUGUGUAAGUAACUGUGCACAUCUUGACGGUACCUAAUCAGAAAGCCACGGCUAACUACGUG